CUUGUUAAGGUGUUCUUGUAACUUUAGCAGAGCAUUAGCCUAACCUGCGGGGCUGCUUUGGUGAUCAAUAAUCACUGUAGCGUGUGUAGAGUGGGUCCAGAGAAGGGAAUUGAGCUGGUACAGGGCCUGGAGCACAAGAGAGAUGGGGAACGGCUGAGGGACCUGAGAGGUUCAGUCUGGAGAAGGCUCAGGUGGGACCUGAUGGCUCCCUAAAACUACCUGAGAGGAGGAUGGAGCCAGGAGGGGCUGGUUUCUGUUCCCAAGGAACAAGGGAUGGGACAAGAGGAAACGGCCUCAAGCUGCACCAGGGCAGGUUUAGAUGGAGCUGAGGAACAAUUCCUUCCCCAGAGGGUGCUCAGGCAUUGGAACAGGCUGCCCAGGGCAGGGCUGGAGCCACUGUCCCUGGAAGCGUUCACACCCCGUGUAGACGAUGCCCUCAGUGCCAUGGAUUAGUGGUGGCCUUGGCAGUGCUGGGGCAAUGGUUGGACUUGGUGAGCUUAGAGGUCUUUUCCAACCGAGCUGAUGCUAUGAUUUAAUAUUCUAUGUACGUGCUGUGUGUACAUACACACACAAUCCUUUCCAGGGCCCUGGCCCAUAUGGUUUCUGCGGCAGGUGAGGUGAUGAGCAGGCCCAAGCGGCUCCCUGACGCUCCGAGCAGCCCCACGGCCAAACCCCAGUCUUGUACCAGGCACAGAGUGCAGCAGAGCACUCGGUGACGCCACCACCACAGCCCGCGCACACAACACGCGCAGCCCCCGAACCGGAAAUCAGGCACCGCCAGCCAGGCCGACCCGCCGCGCCGGUCCCACCGCGGAGCACGCCGGGAACUGUAGUCACGGAACGGCAGUGGCCGCCAAGGGACUCGGCGCAUGCGCAGCUCCUGCCCGACUUUGUGAAGUCGCUGCCUCAGGCCGGGCUGGAGACGCUGCCAUCUUGGCCGGGGAGCGGAGCAGCUGCUGCGCCCGUACCCGCUUUGUCUUGUCCAGUGCAGUGAGAAAAGCUAAUGAAGACUGGGUGCUGAGCAAGCUGAAGAAAUCCUGAGACAUGGAAGAGCCGAU
rnacentral:lncRNA from 14 species